CCCCCCAAAAAUCUAAAAAUAGGUUUGUAUUAUGUACAAAAUAAUAUAUUGGACUUUCGAUUAUUUUUCACAAGUUCAUUACAUCUACUAACAGGAGUUUAUAAAACUGCAAAAAAUAUAAUAAUAUAAUUUUAUAUGCAUUGUGUCGUGACAAGUGUGUUACUGCGCCCUUUCCGUAAAACGUUUCUGGAUACGCUCCUGACAGGCUGAGAACGUUUUAAUUUCAUCACGAGCUGUACGUGUAUAUAUGGAGAUGAUACCUGCAUAAUAUACGCCGUGCAGGGACCAGAUCGGGAGGGUGACACUGGUUCGAGUGCGGUUCCCAGGCCCUUACUACGAUCCGAAAAAAUGCCAUCAAUCUUUUCCGUAAUGGUAUACAACGUUACCGUGUCGGAAUACACUGCAACGAAAACACGAUCUCAUCACAAAACACUUGAUCCACUUAAAACUUGAUAAAUAAUUACCGUCGGUAUGUUAAUAUAAUCAUUCCCACGUCGUCUUCGUUUCUACAUCAUUUCGUGGCGCUGUUCACUCUCACAAACUAUAACGCAUGUAAUACAUUAUGUGGACAUAGUGUCGUGGUUACACGAAUCAAUCUUAAUUGUGCGUAAUUAAUUUUUAUAUAUGUAUGUUUUUUAUUUUUUUUUUUUUUCAGUGAAACCAACGUUCUAACAUCGAUCUUUACGCCCGUUGUUGUGUGAUUAAGCGCAUUAAUUACUUUUACGAUGCAUAAUUUCAAUCACACGCGUAUCGGGCAAAACUCCAUCAUCGACCGGUAUCCGCCAUCUAAUACAGUGGUCGCCGAAAGCCGGCUCACGCGUCUGUACGACCGGCUUUACAAUCCAAAAUUUUUGUACGAUUAUAAGUUAAUCGAAUGUAUUACAUUUAAAAUGAUCGUCUAACAUUUUAAACGAGCGUCGAGCGCAUAUCACGUAUUAUUUACAACGUGCCGAAUGACUUUAACACGAAAAACGUACUAAUUCGGUUGUGUUUCAAACGGAAAUAAUAGCUGUACAUCGGGAUAACAUGAGAAAUUCUUAAAAACUCUCACACUCGCACACCCUGAAUUUUUUUCAUCUUCAAUUAUUGGCCUAGGCGUCACUGAUACAUGGCCUUGUCACUUUGGCCUUCAGUUUUCCAAUCUUUAAUGUUGUGCAUGCACCGUGGCUAAUCAGUAAUCACUGCUAAUCAUAAAUGUUGGCCUGGUUGUGGGAAAAAAUUGACGUCUUUAAUUGCUUGAACAUCCUUAAAAAAAACUUAAAUGGCACCCCUGAAUACGUAUUUUGUUUGGUACGUGGCGCCUGGAUCAGGUCGCAACCGAGUACGUGUUUUUAAACGUAAUUCUGUAGGGUGGACGUGAGGUAACGUACCGCCGAGGUAGAAUGGAUCUGUACUUACGCGUAAUAACACGAGACGAAAGUAUUGUAGCGCACGAGAUAUUAUGUCAGCUCGUUUCCACUAAAAUGGCGUAACCUAUAUAAUAAUAACAACAAACAGUUGGUUUUAAACAUCACGAUUAUAUACGCGUACAUUAGGUUCUGUGCAGUUGUGUAGAGCCAAAACAUCGGAUUUUGGAAUUACAACGAUUAUUAUAUGAUCGACAAGAUGGUACGCGGGGGAAAUGUUCGUAUGGGACACGAGGACAUUUCAACUACGUGUAUGCAACGUUGCUUCCGUGAAACGUGUGUUUUAUUCCUCCGUGACAUUGUAGCACGAAGCACCUUGACAUUUACACGAAAUGAAAUUAAUCAAAAUUACGUACACGCCUGAGCACUCGUACAUACGAAGUGACAAUCUCUCGGCGUCGAUGUAAGGCAUAUAAAAACUGCCUUGGAUUCUCGUACACGAACAUGAACUCCAUCAUCAAACGGUAUCCGCCGUCUAAACAGUGGUCGCCGAAAGCCGGCUCACGCAUCUGUACGACCGGCUUUAAAAUCCAAAAUUUUUGUACGAUUAUAAGUUAAUCGAAUGUAUUACGUUUAAAAUGAU
rnacentral:lncRNA from 1 species